CACGUAGGAUCCAAGCGUUAUCCGGAUUUACUGGGCGUAAAGCGCGUGUAGGUGGUUUGCUAAGUUGGGUGUUAAAUCUCUCAGCUCAACUGAGAGGUGUCGCUCAAAACUAGCAGACUGGAGGAUGGUAGAGGAUGGCGGAAUUCCGGGUGUAGUGGUGAAAUGCGUAGAUAUCCGGAGGAACACCAGUGGCGAAGGCGGCCAUCUGGCCCAUUCCUGACACUCAAACGCGAAAGCUAGGGGAGCAAACGGG
rnacentral:rRNA from 1 species